rnacentral:rRNA from 1 species
AGGACGAACGCUGGCGGCGUGCCUAACACAUGCAAGUCGAGCGAGGUGAUUCUCUCGGGGAUGAACCUAGCGGCGGACGGGUGAGUAACACGUGGGCAACCUGCCUUAUAGAGGGGAAUAGCUCCCGAAAGGGAGAUUAAUACCGCAUAACAUUGAAGUUUCGCAUGAAGCUUCAAUCAAAGGAGUAAUCCGCUAUAAGAUGGGCCCGCGGCGCAUUAGCUAGUUGGUGAGGUAACGGCUCACCAAGGCGACGAUGCGUAGCCGACCUGAGAGGGUGAUCGGCCACAUUGGGACUGAGACACGGCCCAGACUCCUACGGGAGGCAGCAGUGGGGAAUAUUGCACAAUGGGGGAAACCCUGAUGCAGCAACGCCGCGUGAGUGAUGAAGGUUUUCGGAUCGUAAAGCUCUGUCUUCAGGGACGAUAAUGACGGUACCUGAGGAGGAAGCCACGGCUAACUACGUGCCAGCAGCCGC